rnacentral:rRNA from 1 species
GAUCCUGGCUUAGAUUGAACGCUGGCGGCAUGCUUUACACAUGCAAGUCGGACGGCAGCACAGAGAAGCUUGCUUCUUGGGUGGCGAGUGGCGAACGGGUGAGUAACAUAUCGGAACGUACCGAGCAGUGGGGGAUAACUAAUCGAAAGAUUAGCUAAUACCGCAUAUAUUCUGAGGAAGAAAGCAGGGGACCAUUUGGCCUUGCGCUGUUUGAGCGGCCGAUAUCUGAUUAG